UCUUGAACAAACUAACCAGUCCUGAGUCUGU
rnacentral:piRNA from 1 species